UACAGAGGAUGCAAGCGUUAUCCGGAAUGAUUGGGCGUAAAGCGUCUGUAGGUGGCUUUUUAAGUCCGCCGUCAAAUCCCAGGGCUCAACUCUGGACAGGCGGUGGAAACUACCAAGCUGGAGUACGGUAGGGGCAGAGGGAAUUCCUGGUGUAGCGGUGAAAUGCGUAGAGAUCAGGAAGAACACCGGUGGCGAAAGCGUUCUGCUAGACCUGUACUGACACUGAGGGACGAAAGCUAGGGGAGCGAAUGGG
rnacentral:rRNA from 1 species